CCUACGGGGGGCAGCAGUGGGGAAUAUUGGACAAUGGGGGGAACCCUGAUCCAGCCAUGCCGCGUGUGUGAAGAAGGCCCUCGGGUUGUAAAGCACUUUCAGUGAGGAAGAACGCCUGGUGGUUAAUACCCAUCAGGAAAGACAUCACUCACAGAAGAAGCACCGGCUAACUCCGUGCCAGCAGCCGCGGUAAUACGGAGGGUGCGAGCGUUAAUCGGAAUUACUGGGCGUAAAGCGCGCGUAGGUGGCUUGAUAAGCCGGUUGUGAAAGCCCCGGGCUCAACCUGGGAACGGCAUCCGGAACUGUCAAGCUAGAGUGCAGGAGAGGAAGGUAGAAUUCCCGGUGUAGCGGUGAAAUGCGUAGAGAUCGGGAGGAAUACCAGUGGCGGAGGCGGCCUUCUGGACUGACACUGACACUGAGGUGCGAAAGCGUGGGUAGCAAACAGGAUUAGAUACCCUGGUAGUC
rnacentral:rRNA from 1 species